UCAGUUUUCAUGCCAAUAUCAUGCUGUUUUGAUUACUAUAGCUUUGUAGUAUUGUCUGAAGUCUGGGACAGUUAUGCCUCCAGCUUUUUUUUUUUUUUUUUUUUUAAUCUCCCUCGGGAAUGCUUUUACAAUUCUAGGUCUUUUAUGGUUCUAUAUAAGUCUUAGGAUUAUUUGUUGUAGUUCUCUAAAAUAUAUCAUGGAUAAUUUGAUAGGGAUUGCAUUAAAUCUGUAGAUUGCUUUGGUUAGUAUGCUCAUUUUAACAAUAUGAAUUCUUCCAAGAGCAUGGGAUAUCUUUCCAUUAGUUUGAAUCACCAUUUGUUUGAUUCAGUUUCUUUUAAGAGUGUUUUUAGAGUUCUCAACAUAUGGGUCUUUCACCUCCUUGGUUUAGGUUUAUUCCUAGGUAUUUUAUUUAUUUAUUUUUGACCUGAAUUUUAAAUGGGAUUGUUUUACUUUUUCUUUCUGAUAUUUAAUUGUAAGUGUAAAAAGAUGCAGCAGAUUUCUGUAUAUUAAUCUUGUAUCCUACCACCUUGCUAAAUUCAUUUAUUAUUUCUAAGUUUUUGCAUAGUCUUUAGGAUUUACUAUAUAGUGUGCUAUUCAACUGCAUAUAAUGAAAGCUUGAACCUCUUCUUUUCCAAUUUGGAUGCAUUUUAUUUGUUUUUCUAAAACACUCCCUCAUAACAUAUCCAAAAAUAAACUCCGAAUGUGAAGGCCUAAAUAUAAGACCAAAAAACUACAGAAGAGAACAAAGGCAGAACAUUUUGUGACAUAUAAACUAGCAAUAUUUGCUUAGUUCAAUGCAAAAGAAUUAAAAGCAAAAAUAAACAAAUGGGACCUAAUCAAAUUUAAUAGCUUUUGCACAGCAAAGAAGACCAUCAGCAAAAUGAAAAAAAAAGUGCAAAAUGGAAGAAAAUGUUUGCAAACAGUAUAACUAAGAAGGGAUCGAUAGCCAAAAUAUGAAUAUAGCUCAUAUGACUCAAUAUUUAAAAAACAAAACAACCCAGUCAAUAGGCAGAAGUUCUAAAUAGACAUUUCCUGAAAGAAGGAUACAAUAGCCAACAGGUACAUGAAAAGAUGUUCAACAUCACUAAUUAUUAGAGAAAUACAAAUCAAAACCACAAUGAGGUAUCACCUCAUACUGAUCUGAAUGGUUAUCAUCAAAAAGUCUACAAAUAAUAAAUACUAGAGAGCGUGUGGGGGAAAGAGAACCCUCCUACACUAUUGGUGCAAAUGAAAAUUGCUACAGCCACUGUGGAGAACGUAUGGAAAUUCCUUAAGAAAACUAAAAAUAGCAUUACCAUAUGAUGCAGCAAUCCGACUCCUUGUCAUAUAUCCAAAAAAGAUGAAAACUCUAAUUCAAAAAGAUCUGUGCUACUCAGUGUUCAUAACAGCACUAUCUGCAAUAGCAAGGACAUGGAACCAGCCCAAGUGCCUAUCAACAGAUGAUUGGUUUAAGCAUAUAUAUACAUAAUGCAAUAUUACUCAGCCAUAAAAAGAGAGAAAUUAAUGCCAUUUACAGUAACAUGGCUGGACCUAGAGAUUAUCAUACUAAUUAAAGUAAAUCAGAGAACAAAUGUUGUAUCACUUAUAUGUGGAAUCUCGUAAUACAAAUGAAUUUAUUUACAAACCAGAAACAGACUACAGACAUAGAAAGCAAACUUAUGGUUACUAGAGGGUAAAGGGAGAAAGACAGAUAAAUUUGGAGUAUGGGAUGAACAGAUAUACACUAUACAAAAAUAGAAAAACAACAAGGAUUUACUGUACAGCACUGAAACAAUAAUGUAUAAUGGAAGAGAAUCUGAAAUAUAUAAAAUCACUUUACUGUGUAUCUGAAAACUAAGACAAUAUUGUAAAUCAACUAUACUUCAAUUUUUUUUAAAAAAUGCUGUGAAAUCAAAGAGGAAUCAAGGAUUUUGUGGGAGAUAUCAUAGAAAGCUUUAGGAAAGAAGUGACCCAUGCACUAUGUAAUGAAAUUUGACAGAUUUGUCCAAAUGAAGUAAAAGAAGGCAUUCUGGGAAGACAGAAUAAGGGGAAAGAAAGAAAGGUAUGAAAAUACUUUUGAGAACAAGCAUCCCAAAUGAGAAAAGCAUGGACUUCAUAAAGAAAAGUUAAAUGUCUCCUCUCUUAUGAGUCAAAAUGGUGCAUUUGUUUGGCAUUUACUAAAUUUUGAUUUAUUGCACUCUAUUUGCAGCCCAUGUUCUCAUCACUGGUACAUAAUGUCGUUCACUCUGCUUCUUUAUACCUUCUGCACUCUUUGCUCUCCCUGUCUUUCCUCUAAAUGUUAACCUCUUUGAUAUUUACUCAGCUGGAAUCACAGCACUGGGCUGUAUUCCCACAAUCACUUUCAAAUUAAUCUUUAUGCCAUAAUCUCUUUCCUAGUUCAAGUGACCACAGGUCAGCUGGAAUUUGGAAUUCCAAAUUUGAAUAGCUGAGAGAAGAUGGCUUCUUCAGGUUAGCCCCACUCCUCUUGUAUUUUACCUACCUUCAGCAUUAUCUCACCCAUCUAGUACUAGACAGCCAGGUCAGGGUUCCAACAUUGCCUAGCAAGGUGACUCACAAACAAGACUUCACCAAAGAUAGCACUGAAAUAAGCAGCAUAUGUUUGUUCAGUGGAUGCCCUAGAUGGAGUCCUUCACAGCUAAACAAUAACAUAAGUGAAGUUAGCACACACAGUUGACAGGCAAAGACUCCUAUUUUCUGUUCUUAAAUGAAAAACUUCUUUAAAAACAGUGAGAGCCACAUCUUGAGUCUGUCAACUCCCUAUCACCAUUAUAAUGUCAAAUUUUCUCUCCUAUAACAAAAAUAUAUAUUUUAUUUCUCUUAACCUAAACAUUAUACUUGUAUCUGCAGUAUUUACUUAUACAGUACCUAAGCAAAAGGUUUCAUAAAUGUGUUCAAAUCAUCACAGUUUGGGUGAUUUUGAAGUUUUAACUUCCAUUUUCUCUGUAAACCUCACUGAAACAUUAGCUCUCAAGUAAAUAUGUUUUUUAAAAAAAUCCAUGUUAUUUGUGUAGUCCAGUUCUUAAAGUUUUGAUUGUUUGGUUGAUAACUAGUCCAGAGAGGCUAAAACUUUUUCAGCAAAGUUUUGUGUCUGAAAAUCAGAUAGCUUUUCCACUUUACAAUUUAUUUACUACACUUCAUUUUUAGUGGGUUUGCACCUUUGAAUUUCAAAAUCAAGAAUGAAUUUUGUUAGUCCUCAAAUCUUAUUUGAAUUAAAUCGCUGGUAAAUAUCAAGAAAUUAAUACAUAUCUCCAUGUACCAUUUAAUAAAUUCUACUUGAAUUUAGAUACUGACUAAAAAUGGUUCAUCUAUACUGUAUUGUUGGCAUGUACCAAUUUCAGAAAAAAAAUGUUCACUUUCUUCUUUGUAUUACUUUUGAUUCUAAGUAUAUAUUUGUUGAAAUUAACUUUCGCUAUAUUUGGUUCGAGAAGCAGUUUAAAUUUAUUACCUAGUGAAUAGUAUACAACAUGAUAAAUAAAAUCUGGCAUCCACAUGAAAAAGUGUACUGUUAAAAAGUAUAUUGAAUUCUUAACAUUAUAAAGUCUGUUCAUUCAAAAAGCAUAAGUAAAUUCUCCUCCCAAGAUUAUUAUAUUUUGACCUAAUCUAUAGUCUAGUUACUAACUUUAGAAACAUACCAUUAUUAAGACUUCUCCUUUAUUUUCUUCAUAAGUUUAAAAUUAGAAAAAAACAAACACAUACUCUAGAUUACAAAAUUCAUAAUCCAUUCAUAAAAAUAAGAUAUCCUAUUCCCUUUGGAAAUUGGAAUGUAGCUUGCAAUUAUUCCUAUACUGGUCUCUUUUAAGCUCCUCUUAGACAUUAGACAGUGUUUAUUAAAAUUGUGUAAUAUCAGAUGGCUCUGUAUUCACUAUUGAGAAGUAAUAUUCUUGAACUUCUUUAAAGGAAAUGCUUAUUUAUUUUUAUAAAAUUAUCUGACUGAUAGCAGUCCAUACUAAACCUAAGAAGAAAUUUUAUGAUACAUUGCAUUACGUUGUAUUUAAUAUUAUUAAAUAAAAUCAAUAUAAGCAAAGUAUAAAAGCAAUAAUAAAGCCUUACUAAAUCUACUUCUUGACAAUAGCAAUAUUACAUUUUUUAUAUCACUUUAUAAUGAUCCAGGUAUUUUUGUGAUCUCAUUUGACCCUCUUUAUGUGAAGUAGGACAAUUUUAUUAUCGUAACUUUGUAGGAAAGAAAAGUAAUAAGUGAUUUGUCUUAGAUCUUACAUUUAGAAUUAUUAAUGAAUAAUUUAGGUCUGAUGUUGAAACAUUAACCUUUUAAACCCCAGAUUACAAUCUUUUAUUUUAUCUAAUUAGAACAGAAACUUUUAUCAUCACAUUUCACCAUAUGGUAAAAGAAAAAAAAAGUCUAUUAAACUUUUAAUUAAUUACCACUACAAAAGUUAUUUUGUUUCAGUCAUCUAAAAAUAAUGUACAUUCUAGGAAACAAUUUAUUGACUUGGGUACUUGAUAAGAUAUUAACAUGAAAGAUGAAGGGUCCAAUGAAAAUUUCAUCAGUCUUCAGUUAUAAAAUACUUAAUGUCUAUACUUUCUCAAAGAAAAAAAUUUGAAGAAAAAAUAUUGGUUACUUCAUGACAUGUUCUUAAGCAGUUGAAGCAAAAAAAAAACUUUUAUACUAAAUGAGUUUUUUCACAUAUUUAACUAUGUGACAGAAAUAAUAAAAAUAUUUUGGAAUAAUAAAUGCAUUCUUAAAGUCUGUGUUUAUAAAAGAAAAUUAUUUUGUUAGAAAAUACCUUAAUUUUUAAUAACAAUUUGAAGUGUAUACUUUUGUGUGAAAUUAUAUCCUUACACAAUUAAACAUAUCAAGGACACCAUUCCAUGAGCAAACUUUAAAAAAUACAGUAUUUUCAUAAAAAUACUUAGCGAGAAAACUUUAUACUUCUUAUUGAAUUGCUACUUUCAAAUAUGUCAUAAUUAUCAGUGCCUUAUGUCAAUAAAUGCCAGAAGAAAUUCUAUACAGACUCCCAUUCUUCAACAAUAGUAAUUAUAAACAUUCUAUGUAUAUACAUUCAACUUAUGUAUAGUUUUGAAAAUAAAUUAUGUUUAUACUUGAUAUAUAUGCCUAGAUAAUAUAAAUUUAAAACAUUAAAGAAGUAUGAUAGAAAAUUGCAAGAAUCCUAAAUUGUAUGAAUGAUAAAUUUUGUUGAAAUCCUAAAUUCUUCAAUAUGUCACUUGGUUUUAAAAUUCUCCAGUCCCACCCAUUAAAUGAGUGUCUCAAUGGAAAUGAACUCUAGCAGACACCAACUUCCUUAGGAAAUAUACAUCAAGAUAUGUCAACUUCCAAUUAUAUACGGUACCCCAGAAUGUCAGAUUUGUUUUUAGUAUUCACUAGGUUGUCUGAACCAUUAUUUCAAAAUCCAAGAUUCAAUAUUAAAUGUAGAUUAAAUUUGUCAAUUCCAUGUGGAUGUCUUUCAUCUCCACUUGCAUUAUUGUGUCACUUCUGUUGUACCAUAUGGUAUCUCACAGUUGUGUGUUUUGAAAACUGGGUCAAUAUAGUAAUGUUUUAAAACAGUAUUUCUAUAUUAUUAUGAGCCUGUGUUCUCAGGAAAAAUUACCCUUCAGUGAAUAAAAGCAUUCUUAUUGCCUUAUACACUUCAAAAAUUUAUGCUGAAAUCAAAACUUCAAAACAAAGCAAAACCUCAUUGUGUUUUGAAGAUCUUGCCAUCUUCUCAUUGUUUGUUUAACCCUUUAAAAAUUAAAUACCAAUUUCCCUGAUUCUCUCCCAUCUUCUUCAGUUUCUGGCGCAUCUUUCCUACCAGUUAGCAAUCCAUCUUUAAAAAUUCAGUAUCUUCUAAAGAAGAUGUGGUACAUAUGAACAAUGGAAUAUUACUCAGCCAUAAAAAGGGAUAAAGCUGGGUCAUUUGUAGAGACAUGGAUGGGCCUAGAGACUGUCACACAGAGUGAAAUAAGUCAGAGGAAAACAUAUUACCACAUAUAACUGGAACCAGGAAAACUGGUGCAGAUGAACCUCUUUACAAGGCAGAAAUAGAGACACAGAUGUAGAGAAGAAAUAUGUGGACACCAAAUAGGGGAAGGGGGUGUGAUGAAUUGGGAGACUGUGAUUCACAUAUAUACACUAACGUGUGAAUAGAUAACAAAUGAGAACCUGCUCUAGAGCACAGAGAACUCUACUUAAUGCUCUGCAGCGACCUAAGUGGGAAGGAAAUCUAAAAAAAGGAGAGAUGUAUCUAUACAUGCAGCUGUUUCCCUUUUCUCUGCAGCAGAAAUGAAUACAACAUUGUAAAGCAACUAUACCCCAAUUGAAAAUUAAAAAAAAAAGUCAGUACCCUCACUGAUGAUCCAUCUAACAUCUGAUUGCACAGUUAAUUGACCUAUUUCUCCAAUCCACCUUCAGUCAUCAACCAGAGACCAGGAAAACUUCAAUGGCAUGUAAAACAAAAAUGAGAAUAAGGGCAUGAGCUGUGGUUAGAGCAAGGCAAGUAGAGCGCAGUUUCCAGAAGAGGACGAUCGAGGCCUCAGACCAUUUUAUUGUUUUGCACGUGUUGAGUGCGUCCUAAGCAUACGGGCACAGUAAGCAUACUGCGGUAAACAUACGUGGGUGUCAAGGAAGAGGAAAAAUGUGUCUCCUAUUUUGAGAAACUCACAAAAUCAAAUGCCAAACACCAGAAGACAACAUGUCAAAUACCAUAGACGGGAUAUACUAGUAUUAAAUCAUCACAGUUAUAGUAGUACUGGCAGUAGUGAUACUGUUUAUAACAUACUGGUUUGUUUUUUUUUUUUAAUGAAGUGCUUUAUUUGUAUUGCUUUAUUUAAUUAAUACAACAGCUCCAUGAGCCUUGUUAUUUAAUACCUAUUUAAUCAAUAAAGAAACUGGCACAGAGUGGUUAAAUAACUAAUUAAAUCUAAUUCCUGAUUAUGUUUCCAGAAAAAUAAGUAGUUAUUGUAAAUAUUACUUAAAAGAAUGCUGUACAGAAAAGAAAGAAAAAGUAUGUCAAGAAAUUUUAGAAAAUGAAAGAGAGGACAGGAUCUGGAUCGACUAAGGAAGCAGAGAACACCUUUUUCAUAAAGCAAGGCACACACAUUUAGCCAGCCCUUCCUGCUUGAUUUCUCAAGAUUCCAUUGGCCUCCUAUGGCUCCACACAGGCUGUUGCCUGUCUGUCCUAUGAAGGCUAAUCUGCUUCCAGGGUCUACAGGCACUUGAAGGAGGACUGAGACCAGUCACUAAGAUGUCUGGUUCCUUGGAUGUCAGUGUGAUGACCCAAACCUUUAUUCCUGGUGGCUCUAGAAUCUUAGCAGUCUGUCAUGAAUUGCAGUGGCUAUAGUCAGAUUGGCCUUGAGGCCUAUUCAGAUAUUCAUACCAUGUGCUUCAGAGGAAGAAGAUCACGGAAUGUUUUGAUUUGGAUGACUGGUAGGAGAAAUGGGAGAAGACUGUUUAUAGACCUGAAAUGAGACCUAGAAGGGGAAAUCCCCACAGGAGACUGAGAGCAAGACAAGGAUAAUAGCGAAACUUCUAAAAACCAUAUGGAAAUACAAAGGAUUUAUAUUGGCACAAUACAAGCUUAAAAAAAAAAUUGGAGGACGUAUACAGCCAGAUUUCAUACUUACAUGAAAGCUGCAGUAAUGAAGACAGUUGAAUGUUCGUGCGAGGAUAGGCUCUGGAUUUAUGACAUCGGCACUCUUCAAUUUAGGGGAAAAGGUGAGCUUUUCAAUAUCAUGCCAGAACAAUUUCUUAUUCAUUUAAAAAAAUAAGAAAAAAACUUGACUUUUUCUGCAUACCAUGUUUAGGAUGUGUUUAAAAAGUAAAUAUAUCUUCUUGAGGAAAACAUCUUCAUGGCCUUGUGGUAGGUAGAACAUCUCUUAUAUGGGAUGCCAAAACCAAAAACUACACUUGGGAAGCCAAUAACAUGCAAAACAAGGAAACAGGUAAA